AUUGAACGCUGGCGGAAUGCUUUACACAUGCAAGUCGAGCGGCAGCGCGGGGGCAACCCUGGCGGCGAGCGGCGAACGGGUGAGUAAUACAUCGGAACGUGUCCUUAAGUGGGGGAUAGCUCGGCGAAAGCCGGAUUAAUACCGCAUAAGCUCUGAGGAGGAAAGCGGGGGCUCCGUAAGGACCUCGCGCUGUUGGAGCGGCCGAUGUCGGAUUAGCUAGUUGGUGGGGUAAAGGCCCACCAAGGCGACGAUCCGUAGCUGGUCUGAGAGGAUGAUCAGCCACACUGGAACUGAGACACGGUCCAGACUCCUACGGGAGGCAGCAGUGGGGAAUUUUGGACAAUGGGGGCAACCCUGAUCCAGCCAUUCCGCGUGAGUGAAGAAGGCCUCGGUGUAAG
rnacentral:rRNA from 1 species